GACGAACGCUGGCGGUGUGCUUAAUACAUGCAAGUCGAACGGACCCUUCGGGGUUAGUGGCGGACGGCUGAGUAACACGUAGGUAAUCUGCCCUUUUCUGGGGGACAACAGUGGGAAACCGCUGCUAAUACCGCAUAAGCCCGAGGUUGCAAUACCUUUGGUUAAAGAUUUAUCGGAAAAGGAUGAGCCUGCGUCUGAUUAGCUUGUUGGUAGGGUAAAGGCCUACCAAGGCGAUGAUCAGUAGUUGGUCGAGAGGAUGACCAGCCAGAGUGGGACUGAGACACGGCCCACACUUCUACGGAAGGCAGCAGUAGGGAAUUUUGCGCAAUGGGCGAAAGCCUGACGCAGCAACACCGCGUGGAGGAUGAAGGUUCUCGGAUUGUAAACUCCUGUCGGCAGGGAAUAAUUUUGACUGUACCUGCAGAGGAAGCACCGCUAACUACGUGCCAGCCGCCGCCGUAA
rnacentral:rRNA from 1 species